GGACAGCUUAGGCUUUUGAUUUGGGUGAGUGGCUGCUCUGACUGCGUGGAGAUCUGCCUGGGCAUCAAGCAGAGAAGGCCUCAAUCCACCACUAUCUCUGCACAGGAAGGGUUAGGAAACUCAGGCUGCUGGUCCGGGCAAGCAGUUGCUCCAAAUGCAUGGAGUUCUGCCUGGAUGUGGAGUGAAGAGGCCCCCCUGCAUCAGGAUCUCUACACAGGAAGGAUGGCCGUAGCUCAGGCUGCUGAACCAGAACAGAAAUUGUCUUGUCAUUCUGUGUCCCUUGGGACUCCUAUUAUUACUGGCAGAUGGUGCCUGGAUAAACAAGAAAUUCUGAACACUUUGAGUCUGGAAAUUUUCAGAACACCUAGACAGCAUCAGUCAUAACUCCAUACCUGUGUGAGACUGGAAGACUGGAUAGGGCUGAAGUUGGAGAAAUGCCUUUUCCCAGGGUUGUCAGACUGUCAUUUGUUCUGAUGAAGACCCCGCACUCCUUGAGUGGUCAGCCAGUUUUAUCCCAGGGCAGCCACACUUCAGAGGCCUCUGCAUCAUAAGCUUCAUCUAUCUUCAUAUUCAGCAAAACACCAGAUAAGUGGCUAAUUAGCAUAAUUAACAUCAGAAAUGGGUUUUCAUUGGUGAAUUUAGUGGCUUGUUAAUCAGCAUAAUGAAUGUUAGAAAUGGGUUCUGAAUUGUGAAAUUAGAAGAAAUCAAGAUAGUGAAUUGGUUAAAGUAUUAUAGAAACAUACUUAACACUUGCAUAAAAUGGGAAAUUAGAAUCUAUGAGAUCUGUUGGGAUGGCCCCGAAGGUUACAUCAUUAAAUGGACUUGAGUCCAGUCUUUGGGUGAGAGAAUUUCAUAGUGACUGAUGCAAAUUUGUAAAGGUAACAAAAUCUGCCUCUGAAAUAUUGCUAUGUUUGUCUCCUGUAAAUCAUUCAUGUAACAAAUAUGUAUAGUUUGUUCAUCUAAAAGCACAGUGAUCUGGGUCUUUAUCAAACUUAAACAAUAUUGUAUUCACUCUUUCGGGUUUGCCUGUGCAUUCAUGUUUAUGUAUGUCUGUAUGAACAUAGAUUUUGGUCUGAAACUUGCUUUUAUUACAACUGGUAACAAAGCUUGCUUACAAUGAGCAACAAAUACUCACACACAUCAAAAUGUUCAGCUUUUUCUAUAAAAGAACUUCUGAGUUGUAUGAAAUCAAAUUGGUUUACAUCAGUUCAGAACGGUUUGCAAUAAUGUGCUACAGAGAAGUAAACAUCUUCUGUUCCAGCAUUACAGGAUUCUGUAGUGUGUUGAAGACCUGCUGUUUGGUAAGAUGAUCCACACUCCUUGAGACAAUUCAGCCCUGAUGGCCUGACAGUAUUGUUGUAACUUUUCAAUAACUGUAAUGUUAUUACUUCUGUUUUAGAGAGGAAUAAAUCUGAGGUCAAAGAGGUUAAGUAGCUUGCCCAAUUCUAAUACAUGGGAAGGAAUACAGAAAGUAGUUAAUUCCAAAUGUCACUUUUUAACAUCAUGUUCUUUUCUCUAAGUCAUGGUUCUAUAUCUUGGGACAUAGAAAAUAGAAAACAAGUUCCAAUGAACAACACAGCCAAAAGAGAAGUUUUUGAGGGAAAGCACACAUAAAUUUCUUAACCUCAAGUGCCAAAGAAUGUCUCCUAUUUCUUAGGGAUCACAGUAAAAUCCUCUUGGUAUAAAUUCUAGUUGUUGCUUGAUGCUAAGUUCAAUGUUUACUAAGCACCAGAUUUCAUUCCAUAGAGUGGGUUCAGUAAUUCUUAGCUAAUUUUUUUGUUGCUAUUAUAAAAUCUUAAGUUGAAAAAACCUUUCAGGUACUGUUACGAAAAGACAUGUGAACAGGAUGGAGGCGCCUGAAAAUUUUACCCAAGAUUAUGUUUCUCGGAAUUGCUAAGAAGUACUUCUUAGCAAAUACUAAUUUAACAAGUCUUCUAAUAGGAAGUAUUGCACUACACAAUCAAGUUGUUUUUAACUAGGAAUCAUUUCAUUUUGAAAUAAAUCACAGGUUUACAUAUAAACACACACACACACACACACACACACACACACACAGCCCACAUAUGUAUGUCAGCUUAACCAUAUGCAGCUCUGAUAGCUCUGAUUAAAUAUAUGCUUCCAACCCUAUAAACAGCAAGAUCCACAGUCGCUUCCAUGAAAUAGUUAUUUCACCGAGACUGGAUAAAUGGUAAAGCUUUUUCCUCUCUUCCAGCUGUAACCAUUCCCUUUCUUUCUGGGAUCCUCUGUCCUCCUUCCUUGGAAAAGCACCUUCCAUAACAUACUGAGAGUAAAGAGUACAGUGCUCUUGUGAAGGCAGAAUAAAAACUUGGAGGUACUUACUGAGAAUACUAGAGCUGGGUCUGAGAGCUCCAUGAAUGUCGAUGACAGAGCAGGCCACUUCAAAUAGAUAAAACUGCAUUAGUGCUUUUAAAUUUGUCCUUGGGAAUACGCUCAUCUGAAACAAUGAUUGCAGAUACAAAUCAGAUGAAUGCUGCUUUCGGAACUAAAUGAAUGCUCUAAGAGAACAGCUCUGAGAAGAAUACAUUGAAGAGUCUGGAAAGUAAUUUCAUGGAAAAUAGAUUGGGUGCCCAGUUUAUUUGAAGAAAGAUGGGAGUAGAAAAAGCAAAAAGAAGAAAAUGAUUUUAAAGUUUAUUUGGACAUGCCACAAAUUAUGCCUAUAUAUGUUUUAUGCAUGAGUUAAAUAUCUGACAGAUAAUUAUUGAUCACAGAAAUUCUAUAUAAAGGAUGUACUCCCAAAUUGAAUAUCUCUACACAGUAAGCUUAUGUAAUUCAAAUCUUUUUCUCAUAUCAUAUGUUGUUUGUACAUAUAAAGGCUUGCAUUAUUCUGAAAGGGGCACAUUAAAAAUACAAACUCAGCCAAAUGACUGAGAAGAAUUUAGGAUGUACACACUAACGUUAAAAACCAGUGCAAAAAAUUAACUAUCCUCUGAAUGGGUUAUGUUUUCCCAUAUAGUUAGGCCCUGCUGGAUAGUUAUUUAGAUGCCUUGAGAACUAUCUUCAUGUCACCCUCAAGACUCAGGCCCUGGGGCUGCAAAGAGCUAUUUCAUCCCAGGAUGAUCAGAAAUGGGAAAUAUGAAUCAAGGAUGAUUUCUGGCAGAAUUGGGUCUGACUCAUGAAUGGCAAUGCCUUUUUUCUUCCUUUAACUUAUCUUUAAAGGAUAUCCUUUGAAGGAGAUAACUUUCAGGAAAAUGAGAUACUCGUCUAUGAAAAAGUCAAAUUAUUCCAGGUAACAGAGCUCAGAGCAGUCUUCCACAAGGCUUGACACUUCAAAACAAACAAUAAGAAAUCCACUUAAAAUUCCUUAACUUUCCUCUUUCACAGAAUGAUAUUUUACCUCAAGGGUAUUUAUGUAGCUACAGAAAACAAGGGUAGAGGCCCCAGGCUUCUUUCACAAGGUGUUGAUUGAUACUAUAACUUUCCUGGAGCCCAAGAGGAGAGGACUUAAAAUGCACCCAUGGGUUCUUGUCUUGGUAUCGUCAGAAGAAGGAGCAUCUCACUGGUGACAGGGUUCCUUUGGGCAACUUUUUACUGCUCAGAGGUAGAAACAGUUUAUCAAGCUACUGUUUCUUGGGGUGACUUGUUCAAAGUUUCCUUUCACGUAAUGGGAUGCAACAUGAGAUGAGAAGUGACAGCUGGAAGCUGAAUCUUGCAUACAGGAUAGGUGCUCACAUAUCUUAGUGUGAUCAUACAAAACUUUUUGAGGAGUGAGAUUGUUUUUGAGGCCUACUGAUUCAGCAAAGUGCGCUUACUCAAUAUUUUAGGUAGUUAUUAAGGAAGCAGUCCUGAAAGCACUAUAAAGCAAUGCAUAUAAUUAAAAUGUCUUUGACUCAAGACAUGGAACCAACCCAAAUGCCCGUGAAUGAUAGACUGGAUAAAGAAAAUGUGGUACCUACACACCAUGGAAUACUAUGCAGCCAUAAAAAGCAAUGAGAUUAUGUAUUUUGCGGAGACAUAGGUGAAGCCGGAAGCCAUCAUCCUCAGCAAACUAACAGAGGAACAGAAAACCAAACACCUCAUGUUCUCACUCGUAAGUGGGAGUUGAACAAUGAGAACACAUGGACCCAGGGAGGGGAACAACACAUGCCAGGGCCUGUUGGGAUGUGCGGGGCCAGGGGGGUGAACUUAGAUGAUGGGUCAAUAGGUGCAGCAAACCCACCAUGGCACACGUAUACCUAUGUAACAAACUUGCAUGUUUUGCACAUGUAUCUCGGACCUUAAAGAAAAAUAAAAGUUUGAAAAAAUGUCUUUAAUCCAUAUUUGGAAAAGUCAAUGGAAUCUCAGGCUCCUCAACCCUUAUUCUUCAGAGUUCUUGAUGCCCUACCUCUUCUUUGUGGCAAUUGUUAUCUUUCCAUGUAUGUGUUACAGGCCCUUCUGUUGUCCAUUCAGUAACUAGCAUUUACUUAGUAUCAGUCCAUCAAUCCCUAAUACUAGGCUUGGUUGACGUCAGUCUAGCUCUUCUCACAACUUCAGGUAGGGCCUCAUUCUUAUUGGAUCUCCGGAUGGAAAGAGCCACUUUCAGUGUUCUUUUAUUAUAUGACUGUUCUCUUAGGUCUUGAGGAAACACUCCCUAGGACUAUAUCAGAGAAGACUCUAGUGGCCCCACUGAUUGUUAAAGCCAAGCGUGUCGGGUCUCACCACUGGACUUGUCUCAGAAUCCUGUCCAGGGCCUGGAUUUGGCUCCAUCAUAGGCUCAAUGCACUGCUGCACACUGUAGUGCUUUCUGCUGAAUGUGUGGCUUCCCUUUUUGCUUAAGACCAGACCAGGGUUUCACCGUGGGUUUCAAAAAAUCUUACUAUGAGCUCACUAUAUUCUCAUUCAGUUAGGAUAUACAGAAGUAAGGUGGCCUUUCGGCCUGGCAAAGGAUACAGAUGAGUGAUGUUUCAGUUUGAUAACUAGUAAUUUAUAGACCCUGUUAAGAAUUGCCAAUUAGUAUGAGAAUAGAGAGACCAAUUUUUUUAGCUCAUAUUUUCUGAAUUUUUCUAUAUUGAACAAUUAGUAGUAUUUUUAUAGGAAUUAAGGCCUGG
rnacentral:lncRNA from 10 species